AUGGCGGCGUCCCAGAGCUCACUAACGACGACUUCGACCUGUGCCGCGGAGACUGCACACGGGACGCACUUGUUUAGAAUCACCGGGUACAGCCUGUACAGUGGCAUCGGCGUCGGCGAGCGCAUCAAGUCCGCUACCUUGGCUGUCGGCGGCUACGAAUGGCGACUCAGCUAUUACCCCGACGGUAACAAUGAGGAAUACAAAGACUGGCUGUCGGUUUUCCUCGAUCUCAAGACCGAGGACGCCGAGGUCAGGGCCUUCUUCGAUCUGAGGCUUGUCGACCAGGCCACACAGCAGGCGCCGCCGCCUUUUACAGUGCCAAACCCUAGCGAGAUAACCUUGUUUGACUCUGAUGCUCCGUCCUGGGGUUAUCGCCAACUCAGGAAGAAGAGGAAGCUCAAAAAGUAUAUCCUGGACGACGCCCUUCUCAUCGAGUGCAGUCUUACUGUGAUCAACUUCAAGGAGGCACUGGCGGCGGAGACGAUGAUGAAAUAUGAGGACCAAGUUCCGCGGUCAGACUUGCUGGAUAAUCUUCGUAAUUUACUAGAGACACAAGAGGUAGCUGAUGUGUCCUUCAACGUCAACGGGGAGGUUUUCCUCGCACAUAAGGUCAUCCUCGCAAUGCGGUCGCCGGUAUUCAAGGCAGAGUUCUACGGGCCGAUGAGCAACGAGUGUAAGCGGAGUCUAACCAUUGAAGAUAUGCAGCCUCCUGUUUUCAAAGCAUUGCUCCAAUUCAUCUACACGGAUUCGCUGCCCCCAAUGGAUGAACUCAAUGAUGAGGAGUAUGAAGAGAUGGUUAAGCAUCUGCUUGUUGCUGCAGACAGAUAUGCCAUGGAAAGGAUGAAGCUCAUGUGUGAGAGCAAACUUUGCGAUCAAAGUUUUAAAUAGCGCGCUAAGCAUCUUAGCGCCGGACCUCUUUCAAAUGCUAUAGCGUGCUAUAGCGGAGCUAUAGCGCGCUAUUUAAAAUGUUUGUUCAUUUGUUUGGACCAAAGUCUCUUAGCGCAAGACCUUUUGUAAACGCUAUAGCGUGCUAUAGCGGAGCUAUAGCGGGCUAUUUGAAACAGUGUUUGCGAUAUUCUUCUUGCCGAGAAUGUGACCACCAGAUUAGCCCUAGCCGACCAGCAUCAUUGCAGCAUGCUCAAAGAUGCUUGCAUUGAGUUCAUUAGCUCUUCAAAUAGAAUGGCUGAUGUGGUGGCAAGCAAAGGGUAUGAGCGCCUGAAAAGGACAUGCCCUACUACGUGUGCAGAUAUAUUGGAGAAAGCAGCGAAGGCGCGCAAAAUUUAG
rnacentral:rRNA from 1 species